rnacentral:misc_RNA from 1 species
GUUGGGGAAAUGCCAGAGGUCUGGUUGGGAUCUCAUACUGCAAGAUCUCAUGGAGUGAAGGUGGCAAGAAUACACAUGCAUGACUGGCUAAUUCUGUUACUUCUUGUGAUCAUUGAUGCUCUUUUGAACUUUAUAGAACCUUUUCACCGAUUUGUUGGGCAAGGGAUGAUGACAGAUUUAACAUACCCAUUCAAACCUAACACUGUACCUGUGUGGGCUGUUCCAAUUCUUGCUGGAGUUUUGCCAAUU